AGAGAGAGACAUGCGCGCAUAUCAAUAAGCGGAGGAAAAGAAACUAACAAGGAUUCCCCUAGUAACGGCGAGUGAAGCGGGAAGAGCUCAAAUUUGAAAUCUUAAAGGGUUUCCCUUUACGAAUUGUAGUUUAAAGAAGUGUUUUCUGUUGAGGUUUUGGUAAAAGUUCUUUGGAAUAGGACAUCAUAGAGGGUGAGAAUCCCGUAUUUGACCUUUACUUUCAACUUUGUGAUACACUUUCAAAGAGUCGGAUUGUUUGGGAAUGCAGUCCAAAAUGGGUGGUAAAUUUCAUCUAAAGCUAAAUAUUGGCGAGAGACCGAUAGCGAACAAGUACCGUGAGGGAAAGAUGAAAAGAACUUUGAAAAGAGAGUUAAACAGUACGUGAAAUUGUCAAAAGGGAAGCGUUUGACACCAGUGUUGUUUUUCUGAAAAUCAAUUAAAGAACUGUUUAUGCUAAGCUUGUUUAGACUUUAUCAGCUAUCUGUUUAGUUUUGAGCUUUUCCUUAAUGCACUUUUCAGUUAACAAGUCAACAUCAAUUUCUUUUGCUGUAAAAAAGCUUGAGGAAGGUGGCUUGAGAUUCGUCUUAAGUGUUUAUAGCCUCUUGCCUAUGCAGUCGGAGAGAUUGAGGUCUGCAGCGUAGAUCCUUCGGGGCUAAAUGCAUUUGUGCUAAGUUAUAGCAUUUUAUAGACAACUUGUUGACUAUGAUUUGUCUUGUAGCUUACUCGCUUAUGUUAUUUUACCUACGCUUAGGAUGUUGAGCGCAUGUCUCUCUCU
rnacentral:rRNA from 1 species